UGGGGAAUAUUGGGCAAUGGGGGAAACCCUGACCCAGCAACGCCGCGUGAGGGAAGAAGGUUUUCGGAUUGUAAACCUCUGUCCUAAGAGAAGAGGGGAAGACGGUAUCUUAGGAGGAAGCCCCGGCUAACUACGUGCCAGCAGCCGCGGUAAUACGUAGGUUGCAAGCGUUGUCCGGAUUUACUGGGUUUAAAGGGUGCGCAGGCGGCGCGCCAAGUCAGCGGUCAAAGUUCCGGGCUCAACCCGGUGUCGCCGUUGAAACUGGCGUGCUCGAGUGCGUGCGAGGAAGGCGGAAUGCGUUGUGUAGCGGUGAAAUGCAUAGAUAUGACGCAGAACUCCGAUUGCGAAGGCAGCUUUCCAACGCGCUACUGACGCUGAGGCACGAAAGCGUGGGGAUCGAACAGGAUUAGAUACCCUGGUAGU
rnacentral:rRNA from 1 species